rnacentral:rRNA from 1 species
AGUGAACGCUGGCGGUAGGCCUAACACAUGCAAGUCGAACGGCAGCACAGUAAGAGCUUGCUCUUACGGGUGGCGAGUGGCGGACGGGUGAGGAAUACAUCGGAAUCUACUUUUUCGUGGGGGAUAACGUAGGGAAACUUACGCUAAUACCGCAUACGACCUACGGGUGAAAGCAGGGGAUCUUCGGACCUUGCGCGAUUGAAUGAGCCGAUGUCGGAUUAGCUAGUUGGCGGGGUAAAGGCCCACCAAGGCGACGAUCCGUAGCUGGGCUGAGAGGAUGAUCCGCCCCACUGGAACUGGGACACGGUCCAGACUCCUACGGGAGGCAGCAGUGGGGAAUAUUGGACAAUGGGCGCAAGCCUGAUCCAGCCAUACCGCGUGGGUGAAGAAGGCCUUCGGGUUGUAAAGCCCUUUUGUUGGGAAAGAAAAGCAGCAGGUUAAUACCCCGCUGUUCUGACGGUACCCAAAGAAUAAGCACCGGCUAACUUCGUG